CGCUCCUUGUUUUACCAAAUAUAAGGAGUAGGACCUGCCCGGUGAGAUUUUUAACGGCCGCGGUACUCUGACCGUGCAAAGGUAGCAUAAUCAUUUGCCUUAUAAUUGAAGGCUUGUAUGAAUGGUUUGACGAAAUCGAUACUGUCUCUUUUUUACUUUGUAGAAUUUGACUUAAGGGUGAAGAGGCCCUUAUCUUACUGAAGGACAAGAAGACCCUGUCGAGCUUAAAGAAUAGGUGGAGAAUUAAUAUAAAACUAAAUAAAUAGAUUACUAGAUAAUUCUUUUGGUUGGGGCGACUAAGGAACAGAAAAAGCUUCCUUUAUUCUUUAUAUCUUACAGGUUAAAGAUCCAGCUAUGCUGAUUGUAGAAAUUAGUUACCGCAGGGAUAACAGCAUAAUCUUUCUUAAGAGACCAUAUCGAAAGGGGGGGUUGUGACCUCGAUGUUGGACUAGGAUGUCCUAAAGAUGUAGAAGUCUUUGAGGGUUGGUCUGUUCGACCAUUAAAAUCCU
rnacentral:rRNA from 1 species